GGGCCGGUAGCUCAGUCUGGCAGAGCAUCGGACUUUUAAUCCGAGUGU
rnacentral:tRNA from 1 species